rnacentral:rRNA from 1 species
UACAGAGGUCCCAAGCGUUGUUCGGAUUCAUUGGGCGUAAAGGGUGCGUAGGUGGCGUCGUAAGUCGGGUGUGAAAUCUCGGGGCUUAACUCCGAAACUGCAUUCGAUACUGCGGUGCUUGAGGACUGGAGAGGAGACUGGAAUUUACGGUGUAGCGGUGAAAUGCGUAGAUAUCGUAAGGAAGACCAGUGGCGAAGGCGGGUCUCUGGCCAGUUCCUGACGCUGAGGCACGAAGGCCAGGGGAGCAAACGGG